UCGAGAAUCUUCGGCAAUGGGCGAAAGCCUGACCGAGCGAUGCCGCGUGCGGGAUGAAGGCCUUCGGGUUGUAAACCGCUGUCGUAGGGGAGAAAGGGUCGUUGAAGAAACGACUUUGAUCUAUCCUAGGAGGAAGUCCGGGCUAAGUUCGUGCCAGCAGCCGCGGUAACACGAACCGGACAAACGUUAUUCGGAAUUACUGGGCUUAAAGGGUGCGUAGGCGGUGCGGUAAGUGCGGUGUGAAAUCCCACGGCUCAACCGUGGAAUUGCGCUGCAUACUGCCGUGCUAGAGGGAGACAGGGGUAAGCGGAACUGAUGGUGGAGCGGUGAAAUGCGUUGAUAUCAUCAGGAACACCGGUGGCGAAAGCGGCUUACUGGGUCUCUUCUGACGCUGAGGCACGAAAGCUAGGGUAGCGAACGGGAUUAGAUACCCCCGUAGUCCCUGAGCGGGCUGGCAAGGCGCAU
rnacentral:rRNA from 1 species